AGCAGCCGCGGUAAUUCCAGCUCCAAUAGCGUAUAUUAAAGUUGUUGCAGUUAAAAAGCUCGUAGUUGAAUUUCGGGGUCAGUAGGUUGGUCAUGCCACAGGUAUGUACUGGUCUCACUGAUUCCUCCUUCCUGAUGAGCCGUAAUGCCAUUAAUUUGGUGUUGCGAGGAAUCUGGACUGUUACUUUGAAAAAUUAGAGUGUUUAAAGUAGGCUAACGCUUGAAUACAUUAGCAUGGAAUAAUGAAAUAGGACGUUCGAUCUUAUUUUGUUGGUUUCUAAGAUUGACGUAAUGAUUAAUAGGGAUAGUUGGGGCAUUAGUAUUCAAUUGUCAGAGGUGAAAUUCUUGGAUUUAUUGAAGACUAACUACUGCGAAAGCAUUUGCCAAGGAUGUUUUCAUUAAUCAAGAACGAAAGUUAGGGGAUCGAAGACGAUCAGAUACCGUCGUAAGUCUUAACCAUAAACUAUGCCGACUAGGAUCGGAUGAUGUUAAUUUUUAAUGACUCAUUCGGACCG
rnacentral:rRNA from 1 species